rnacentral:lncRNA from 1 species
UUCAAACUCUCACCUUUUCUUCACAAACAUUCUCUCACCAAGAAAAAAAACUUCAUAACUGGUGGUGUAUUAUGAUUUUAGUUUAUGAAAUGUUUCGUAAAUUUUGUUUUGUUGGAUCUCGUUGUUUAAAAAAAUAGGACCUGACACAUUAAAAUAGGCACUAUAAGUUACAAACAGAAAUAUAUCUAGAAUUACUAUUUUACAUAAUGUUAUAUAACUUUUAAUUAUCGAAAUCUGUUUCUAAAGUUUUAAAGUUGAGUUCUUCCUUUUUCUUGAGUGUAAAGGGAUGUUAGAACAACCACCAACCAGAUCUAUUCUGAUAUGUGUGGAUAGUUUUCUUGUAACCAAGCUGGAGAGAUCUGACCAGUAGAUCGAGUUUUCCGGUAACUGCGUUGCACAGAUCUAACCGGUUGAUCAAGUUUUCCGGUAACCAAGCUACUCAGAUGUGUCCGAUUUGCGUGGGCAGCAGACAUUGUCUCACAAAAGCAACUCCGACGAACAUGAGUAUGUCCCGAUACCUCAAAUCUGAUUCUCGGUCAACGACUCGCCUGGUAGAGAACUGACAAUAGGAGUAGAAGAAGAUGAAAGUGUAUAACAUAAACGAAUGAUUAGGUUAGCAACUCCGUUAAAUAAGCUUUUUUAGUUUUAAAUUAUUAAAAGUGUUGGUAACAUUUUUGGAAAUGUUGAGAAACAUAGAGAAAUCUCAAAAGGCAUGUUUCAUCUCACUCAACAACUAUCAUGUAAAUUAUACAUACGAUAUGAAAUCAAAACUCAAUCAUAAAUGACCGUAAUCGUUGUAUCAAUCGAUGUCUGCAAAAAAAUUGACCAAGAAAUUGGAUUUUCUUUGACGAAUGAAAAGGACUAA